UACGGGGGAUGCAAGCGUUAUCCGGAUUUAUUGGGUUUAAGGGGUGCGUAGGCGGUCUGUCAAGUCGGCGGUGAAAACAGCAAGCUAAACAUGGAGCUUGCCGUCGAGACUGGUGGGCUUGAAUGUGGAUGAUGCCGGCGGAAUGUGUCAUGUAGCGGUGAAAUGCAUAGAUAUUACACAGAAGGUCGAUUGCGAAAGCAGCUGG
rnacentral:rRNA from 1 species